AUUGAACGCUGGCGGCAGGCCUAACACAUGCAAGUCGAGCGGUAGAGAGAAGCUUGCUUCUCUUGAGAGCGGCGGACGGGUGAGUAAUGCCUAGGAAUCUGCCUGGUAGUGGGGGAUAACGUUCGGAAACGGACGCUAAUACCGCAUACGUCCUACGGGAGAAAGCAGGGGACCUUCGGGCCUUGCGCUAUCAGAUGAGCCUAGGUCGGAUUAGCUAGUUGGUGAGGUAAUGGCUCACCAAGGCGACGAUCCGUAACUGGUCUGAGAGGAUGAUCAGUCACAAUGGAGCUGAGACACGGUCCAGAAUCCUACGGGAGGCAGCAGUGGGGAAUAUUGGACAAUGGGCGAAAGCCUGAUCCAGCCAUGCCGCGUGUGUGAAGAAGGUCUUCGGAUUGUAAAGCACUUUAAGUUGGGAGGAAGGGUUGUAGAUUAAUACUCUGCAAUUUUGACGUUACCGACAGAAUAAGCACCGGCUAACUCUUUGCCAGCCGCCGCCGUAA
rnacentral:rRNA from 1 species